AGCGAACGUUAGCGGCGGGCCUAACACAUGCAAGUCGAGCGAGAAAGUGGCUUCGGCCAUCAGUAAAGCGGCGGACGGGUGAGUAACACGUAGGUAAUCUUCCCUUGAGCGGGGGACAACGUUUCGAAAGGAACGCUAAUACCGCAUAAGUUUCCAUGGCCUCCGGGUUGUGGAAGGAAAGCUAGGUCGCAAGAUCCGGCACUCGAGGAGGAGCCUGCGUCGCAUCAGCUAGUUGGUGGGGAAUGGCCUACCAAGGCGAAGACGCGUAGCUGGUCUGAGAGGAUGAUCAGCCACACUGGGACUGAGACACGGCCCAGACUCCUACGGGAGGCAGCAGUGGGGAAUAUUGGACAAUGGGCGCAAGCCUGAUCCAGCCACGCCGCGUGAGUGAUGAAGGCC
rnacentral:rRNA from 1 species